UAGAAAAAGUUCUGACGGGUUUGGAGAGCGGUAGCGGAGCGCUGGUGUGUUAGCAAAGCUAAUGGGUUCAGACAGUGGCAGAGGAAGGAAAGGUCAGCCAUGACACUUCAUGUUAGUGUCUUUUCUCAUAUCUCUGCCUUUAUCUACUGCAGCCUGGUGGCAAUGUUCUGCUUAUGUGGAGUCAAAAGUGAUACAGCAGAUUUCACAACUCAGAGAUUUCAUUUCACCGCCAGUUAUGUGUCAAGAUUGUCACCUGCGACAACGGGACCGCCAUGUCAGCAGUAACGGAGAAAGCUGGACGUUAAGCCUGCGGCUGGUGGUCCAGGAGAGGCGGUUCCAGUGGAAACAGCUGUGAAAUCCCCGCUGCGAGCCGCCGCUGAUGAGGCAACACGAGCAGCGACGUGUUUUCUGUCAGGCAUGCGAAGGAAAAGCUGUGAGGAAGAGCCAUCUGUCACUUCCUGGACGAGCCGCCAUAAAUAUGAAACACGUCUGCAGAGGGAAGACGCCGCUGCGCGUUGCUUAACACAAACCCACCGUCAUUCUGGCACAAAUCAGAGCAAUAAAUGCUCUGAAAGGUUGUGCCAGAAUGUAUUGAUAAAACUCAUCGAUAAUCUGUUGAAACAUUAGAAUUAAAUAAUACUGAACAUUUUUUCAGUCCCUCUGAGAUUUUGAUUUUUAUCUUUUUCAAUAAAAAUUGAAGUUUUUGCUAAACUAA